rnacentral:rRNA from 1 species
GACAGAGGAUGCAAGCGUUAUCCGGAAUGAUUGGGCGUAAAGCGUCUGUAGGUGGCUUUUCAAGUGCGUCAUCAAAUCCCAGGGCUCAACCCUGGACAGGUGGUGGAAACUACCAAGCUAGAGUAUGGUAGGGGCAGAGGGAAUUUCCGGUGGAGCGGUGAAAUGCAUUGAGAUCGGAAGGAACGCCCGUGGCGAAAGCGAGCCCCUGGACGUCUACUGACGCUGAGACGCGAAAGCCAGGGGAGCGAACGGG